rnacentral:lncRNA from 1 species
UUCAGGCUGUGAUUAAUUAAUUCGAAUUGGCUGGGAAGGAACCACAAGGUUACCGAGCGUCAGCUCGAAGAUGCCUUUGUCCGUUUUGGCAAAAUUAUCGAUGCUCAGGUCCCCUCUUUUCUUCAUUUUUUAGUUUUUACUUUUUAUAUCUUGGAUGAUUAUUAUACUUCUCCUUUUCUGGUUGGUUAAUGCGUAUAAUUGGAAUUUGGUUUUUAUGUUCAUAAUUGUGCAUCAAUCCUACAAAGAUCGAAUGAUUCCUGUUUUAUCCCCUCAAAUUUUUGAGGAAAAAGUUUAAUAGAAAAUAUUAUAUCUGGGUUUAUUUAUUCUGUGAUUGAUGUGUGUGUAUAUAUAUAGAUAUUUAUGGGUAAAAGUAUGAACUCUGCUUCAUUUUUGAGAGCAUAAAUGAUUAUAAUUAAGCUGAAAAUUGAAAUCUUGUUUAGUCUUUUUACCCCACUUUUUGUUUUUUGUUUUUUUUAACUCAGUAAAAUUUCAAAUUUCAAUUUUUUAGAUUAUUUGUGAUUAUUAAUUUUCAUUUUUUGUAGAGAAAUCAGAUGAGAUAAAUGAAUGAAAUUUGGGCUUGUGUUAUUUUAUUGUUAAAAAUUGGAGAACUGUGAACCUGCAUGGCUUUCAUAGUAACCUGCAUGACAUAAGGACUUUAUUGUAUUUUCAUUUGUAAAUGUAUGAGAUUCGUACUAAAGUGUAUGAUGAAUACACUUUGUGUUUUGUAUAUGUUAUGUUGAGUUAGUAUAUGUGCCUAUGUGGUUCUGUUUUCUAUUAUUCUUUUUGUCUCUCUUUUCUUUUUCUCCAUCGCUGAUUGAUAUAUUAAUUAUCUCUCUUUGUUUGUGAUUUUUUUGGAAUGCUGGUAUGAGCUCAGUGUUAUUUGUUGGUAAUGUUGAGAUUCUAAGUUUUGAAGCAACUUAUCUAUGGAGAUGGUCUCUAUAUGUCUGAAAAGGCAGAUUGAGCUGAAGGCCAGAUUCAUCAGAGUCUGUUCAAUCGGAACAGUUCUUUCAUUUUAUAAUAGGAUCUGUGGUUUUGGCAUCCAUUAGGAAAGACCUGUUAUAAGAUUGGACCUCCAAUGCUGGGUGAAGGUGGCUAAUCAGUAAGACAUGUGCUGUAGAUAACUUCCAAGUAACUUUUCCCUUUUCAACUCUUCUAAAAACAGUUCAUUGAAAAGAAGUGAAGUGGUUUGAAUGAUCCAGAGCUGAACCUAAGUUGGGCAUUGUUGAUCGUGUCAUCUGAAGCUAAAUAUAAAUCAAUUAAUAGUUGUAAAGGUUCUCUGUAAAGAGUCUAGGAG